UAGUAACGGCGAGUGAAGCGGCAACAGCUCAAAUUUGAAAUCUGGCCUUCGGGUCCGAGUUGUAAUUUGUAGAGGAUGCUUUUGGUGCGGUGCCUUCCGAGUUCCCUGGAACGGGACGCCAUAGAGGGUGAGAGCCCCGUCUGGUUGGAUACCAAUCCUCUGUAAAGCUCCUUCGACGAGUCGAGUAGUUUGGGAAUGCUGCUCUAAAUGGGAGGUAUAUGUCUUCUAAAGCUAAAUACCGGCCAGAGACCGAUAGCGCACAAGUAGAGUGAUCGAAAGAUGAAAAGCACUUUGAAAAGAGGGUUAAACAGUACGUGAAAUUGUUGAAAGGGAAGCGCUUGUGACCAGACUUGGGCAUGGUUAAUCAUCCAGCGUUCUCGCUGGUGCACUUGGCCUGCCCAGGCCAGCAUCAGUUCGGUGUGGGGGAUAAAGGCUUCGGGAAUGUGGCUCCUCCGGGAGUGUUAUAGCCCGUUGUGCAAUACCCUGCGCUGGACUGAGGUUCGCGCAUCUGCAUGGAUGCUGGCGUAAUGGUCAUCAGCGACCCGUCUUGAAACACGGACCAAGGAGUCGUCCUCGUAUGCGAGUGUUCGGGUGUUAAACCCCUACGCGUAAUGAAAGUGAACGCAGGUGAGAGCUUCGGCGCAUCAUCGACCGAUCCUGAUGUUCUCGGAUGGAUUUGAGUAAGAGCAUACGGGGCCGGACCCGAAAGAAGGUGAACUAUGCCUGUAUAGGGUGAAGCCAGAGGAAACUCUGGUGGAGGCUCGCAGCGGUUCUGACGUGCAAAUCGAUCGUCAAAUAUGGGCA
rnacentral:rRNA from 1 species